rnacentral:tRNA from 1 species
GGUAGGAUGGCUGAGCAUUUAAGCGGUGGAUUGUAGACCCACAAACAAAGGUGCAAAUCCUUUUCUUACCA